rnacentral:lncRNA from 1 species
UCUAAUCCUCCUAUCUUCUUCCUGUAUUUCUCCUCCGUUGUCUAUGCUAUAUACUAAGCAGUUGCUGGAUGGGAGGGAAAUCAAUAUUCACAACUGUACCUCACUGUUCGAUACUGUCGCACCACUAGACUGUCCGCUGUAGCAAAUUGAUUGCGCCUAGACAGCAUCCUAAUGCCAGGUACUCAUCUUUAAGAACAUAUUUGCUCACCCCUUCAGAUGUGUACUUUCGCGUUGCCUCCAAUUCCUGUUGCAUCCUAACCAACAUUUCCUUGGUAACUCUUUGAAUAUUGAUCAUCAUCCUCCC